UCAUUUUACUCUUAUGGUCCCCUUUUUUAUUUCCAGAACAUUAGGCCAUAGCUUCCCUGUCAUAACUGUGUAUUGGAAUUUUCUUUUGUUCGCCACCAGUUGUCUUUUGAGUAUCAGACUCAAUUAAUUUUAACACCUGGAGAAUCAAUUCCAAAAUUUACCAUUGCAUUGUUUUGAUCUCCUGCUUCCCUGUCACAUUCUCCAUUACCAACCAUUGAAUCAACAGUAAGCCUAUGACCAUCUGAUGCACCUGUAGAAAUAUUCUGCAAUACCUGUUGCUCAAAUACAGCCACUGGUGCAUUACAAGAUGACAGAAUAUUUGCACCAUAAGCCAACUCUGUUUCCUCUAUUAUUUGAGCCUCUAUAUUUUUAGCCAUACCACCAGAUAAAAUUCCAUUUAGUGCCUCACCAUCAAGAUCAACCACCUACCCAGCCUGUGCACUAGUAGUAAUACGAUCUGCAGUAGUCUGCAUUGCCCCAGCAGUAGCCACAUAUGUUCGUGCAUAAAUAGUAGAAGCAGGUACAUCUCUAGAAGGAUUAGGAGGUCCUUUUUCCAACUUCAAUACCUCCUCCAUAGUCUCAACUAGAACUGCUGCAUGUGGUGCAUCUGAUACACCAGCAACCACAACACUCCUAGCCAUUACAUGUCUUAGGAGGUCAUUUAUCCAACUUCAAUACCUCCUCCAUAGUCUCAACGGGAACUGCUGCAUGUGGUGUAUCUGAUACACCAGCAACCACAGUACUCCUAGCCAUUACAUGUUGAUCUGCAUCACCCCUAUCAUUCAUAGUAGGUUGUGUAGUCUUCAAAUCAACAGUCUUUUUCGUAACAUCCUUUACAAUACCAGGUUGUGCAGCUGAAUCAAUUCGACCAACAACAUCCUUCAAGCCUGUAUUAUUUUCCACAGUCACUCCUUCUGCAAUUUGUAAAGUCUGUUGUGAGACUUUUGUUAAUUCAACUCUUGAAUUACC
rnacentral:lncRNA from 1 species